rnacentral:lncRNA from 1 species
CUGGCAAUGACCAUAUACCAAGCUACUAUAAUCCACUAAUGAUGGCCAUAUACUAACUAUUAUGACUUACUGGUGAAGGCCGAAUGCCAACUACUAUAAUCCAUUAGCAAGGACUGUAUAUAGCUAUUUAAGAGUCCAAGUCAUAUUUUUUAAAUUAUAAUUUCUUAAAAUAUAUAUUUUUAUAUCAUAAAUAAAUAGGUUUAAAUUGCUAUAUAGAGUUCAUAAAUUAAUAGUAGUGGAACAAUCAUGUAAUUAUUUUUUCAUAACAAAAAUAUAAAUUUUAUAAAUAUGG